rnacentral:rRNA from 3 species
AGGGCGCACGGUGGAUGCCUUGGCACUAGAAGCCGAUGAAGGACGUUACUAACGACGAUAUGCUUUGGGGAGCUGUAAGUAAGCUUUGAUCCAGAGAUUUCCGAAUGGGGAAACCCAGCAUGAGUUAUGUCAUGUUAUCGAUAUGUGAAUACAUAGCAUAUCAGAAGGCACACCCGGAGAACUGAAACAUCUUAGUACCCGGAGGAAGAGAAAGAAAAUUCGAUUCCCUUAGUAGCGGCGAGCGAAACGGGAAGAGCCCAAACCAACAAGCUUGCUUGUUGGGGUUGUAGGACACUCUAUACGGAGUUACAAAGGACGACAUUAGACGAAUCAUCUGGAAAGAUGAAUCAAAGAAGGUAAUAAUCCUGUAGUCGAAAAUGUUGUCUCUCUUGAGUGGAUCCUGAGUACGACGGAGCACGUGAAAUUCCGUCGGAAUCUGGGAGGACCAUCUCCUAAGGCUAAAUACUCUCUAGUGACCGAUAGUGAACCAGUACCGUGAGGGAAAGGUGAAAAGCACCCCGGAAGGGGAGUGAAAUAGAACCUGAAACCGUGUGCUUACAAGUAGUCAGAGCCCGUUAAUGGGUGAUGGCGUGCCUUUUGUAGAAUGAACCGGCGAGUUACGAUUUGAUGCAAGGUUAAGCAGUAAAUGUGGAGCCGUAGCGAAAGCGAGUCUGAAUAGGGCGUUUAGUAUUUGGUCGUAGACCCGAAACCAGGUGAUCUACCCUUGGUCAGGUUGAAGUUCAGGUAACACUGAAUGGAGGACCGAACCGACUUACGUUGAAAAGUGAGCGGAUGAACUGAGGGUAGCGGAGAAAUUCCAAUCGAACCUGGAGAUAGCUGGUUCUCUCCGAAAUAGCUUUAGGGCUAGCCUCAAGUGAUGAUUAUUGGAGGUAGAGCACUGUUUGGACGAGGGGCCCCUCUCGGGUUACCGAAUUCAGACAAACUCCGAAUGCCAAUUAAUUUAACUUGGGAGUCAGAACAUGGGUGAUAAGGUCCGUGUUCGAAAGGGAAACAGCCCAGACCACCAGCUAAGGUCCCAAAAUAUAUGUUAAGUGGAAAAGGAUGUGGCGUUGCCCAGACAACUAGGAUGUUGGCUUAGAAGCAGCCAUCAUUUAAAGAGUGCGUAAUAGCUCACUAGUCGAGUGACACUGCGCCGAAAAUGUACCGGGGCUAAACAUAUUACCGAAGCUGUGGAUUGUCCUUUGGACAAUGGUAGGAGAGCGUUCUAAGGGCGUUGAAGCAUGAUCGUAAGGACAUGUGGAGCGCUUAGAAGUGAGAAUGCCGGUGUGAGUAGCGAAAGACGGGUGAGAAUCCCGUCCACCGAUUGACUAAGGUUUCCAGAGGAAGGCUCGUCCGCUCUGGGUUAGUCGGGUCCUAAGCUGAGGCCGACAGGCGUAGGCGAUGGAUAACAGGUUGAUAUUCCUGUACCACCUAUAAUCGUUUUAAUCGAUGGGGGGACGCAGUAGGAUAGGCGAAGCGUGCGAUUGGAUUGCACGUCUAAGCAGUAAGGCUGAGUAUUAGGCAAAUCCGGUACUCGUUAAGGCUGAGCUGUGAUGGGGAGAAGACAUUGUGUCUUCGAGUCGUUGAUUUCACACUGCCGAGAAAAGCCUCUAGAUAGAAAAUAGGUGCCCGUACCGCAAACCGACACAGGUAGUCAAGAUGAGAAUUCUAAGGUGAGCGAGCGAACUCUCGUUAAGGAACUCGGCAAAAUGACCCCGUAACUUCGGGAGAAGGGGUGCUCUUUAGGGUUAACGCCCAGAAGAGCCGCAGUGAAUAGGCCCAAGCGACUGUUUAUCAAAAACACAGGUCUCUGCUAAACCGUAAGGUGAUGUAUAGGGGCUGACGCCUGCCCGGUGCUGGAAGGUUAAGAGGAGUGGUUAGCUUCUGCGAAGCUACGAAUCGAAGCCCCAGUAAACGGCGGCCGUAACUAUAACGGUCCUAAGGUAGCGAAAUUCCUUGUCGGGUAAGUUCCGACCCGCACGAAAGGCGUAACGAUUUGGGCACUGUCUCAACGAGAGACUCGGUGAAAUCAUAGUACCUGUGAAGAUGCAGGUUACCCGCGACAGGACGGAAAGACCCCGUGGAGCUUUACUGUAGCCUGAUAUUGAAAUUCGGCACAGCUUGUACAGGAUAGGUAGGAGCCUUUGAAACGUGAGCGCUAGCUUACGUGGAGGCGCUGGUGGGAUACUACCCUAGCUGUGUUGGCUUUCUAACCCGCACCACUUAUCGUGGUGGGAGACAGUGUCAGGCGGGCAGUUUGACUGGGGCGGUCGCCUCCUAAAAGGUAACGGAGGCGCUCAAAGGUUCCCUCAGAAUGGUUGGAAAUCAUUCAUAGAGUGUAAAGGCAUAAGGGAGCUUGACUGCGAGACCUACAAGUCGAGCAGGGUCGAAAGACGGACUUAGUGAUCCGGUGGUUCCGCAUGGAAGGGCCAUCGCUCAACGGAUAAAAGCUACCCCGGGGAUAACAGGCUUAUCUCCCCCAAGAGUUCACAUCGACGGGGAGGUUUGGCACCUCGAUGUCGGCUCAUCGCAUCCUGGGGCUGUAGUCGGUCCCAAGGGUUGGGCUGUUCGCCCAUUAAAGCGGUACGCGAGCUGGGUUCAGAACGUCGUGAGACAGUUCGGUCCCUAUCCGUCGUGGGCGUAGGAAAUUUGAGAGGAGCUGUCCUUAGUACGAGAGGACCGGGAUGGACAUACCUCUGGUGUACCAGUUGUCGUGCCAACGGCAUAGCUGGGUAGCUAUGUGUGGACGGGAUAAGUGCUGAAAGCAUCUAAGCAUGAAGCCCCCCUCAAGAUGAGAUUUCCCAACUUCGGUUAUAAGAUCCCUCAAAGAUGAUGAGGUUAAUAGGUUCGAGGUGGAAGCAUGGUGACAUGUGGAGCUGACGAAUACUAAUCGAUCGAAGACUUAAUC